AACGUAGGAGGCGAGCGUUAUCCGGAGUUACUGGGCGUAAAGCGCAGGUAGGCGGUUUGACAAGUUGGGUGUGAAAGCUCCCGGCUAAACUGGGAGAGGUCAUCCAAGACUGUCAGACUAGAGGCCGGUAGAGGGGUGCAGAAUUCCGGGUGUAACGGUGAAAUGUGUAGAGAUCCGGAGGAAUACCAGUGGUGAAGACGGCGCCCUGGGCCGGUACUGACGCUGAGAUGCGAAAGCGUGGGGAGCGAACGGG
rnacentral:misc_RNA from 1 species